GACGAACGCUGGCGGCGUGCUUAACACAUGCAAGUCGAACGGAAAGGCCCUGCUUUUGUGGGGUGCUCGAGUGGCGAACGGGUGAGUAACACGUGAGUAACCUGCCCUUGACUUUGGGAUAACUUCAGGAAACUGGGGCUAAUACCGGAUAGGAGCUCCUGCUGCAUGGUGGGGGUUGGAAAGUUUCGGCGGUUGGGGAUGGACUCGCGGCUUAUCAGCUUGUUGGUGGGGUAGUGGCUUACCAAGGCUUUGACGGGUAGCCGGCCUGAGAGGGUGACCGGGCACAUUGGGACUGAGAUACGGCCCAGACUCGUACGGGAGGCAGCAGUGGGGAAUAUUGCACAAUGGGCGGAAGCCUGAUGCAGCAACGCCGCGUGCGGGAUGACGGCCUUCGGGUUGUAAACCACUUUCGCCUGUGACGAAGCGUGAGUGACGGUAAUGGGUAAAGAAGCACCGGCUAACUACGUG
rnacentral:rRNA from 1 species